GACGAACGCUGGCGGCGUGCUUAACACAUGCAAGUCGAACGGAAAGGCCCUGCUUUUGUGGGGUGCUCGAGUGGCGAACGGGUGAGUAACACGUGAGUAACCUGCCCUUGACUUUGGGAUAACUUCAGGAAACUGGGGCUAAUACCGGCUAGGAGCUCCUGCUGCAUGGUGGGGGUUGGAAAGUUUCGGCGGUUGGGGAUGGACUCGCGGCUUAUCAGCUUGUUGGUGGGGUAGUGGCUUACCAAGGCUUUGACGGGUAGCCGGCCUGAGAGGGUGACCGGCCACAUUGGGACUGAGAUACGGCCCAGACUCCUACGGGAGGCAGCAGUGGGGAAUAUUGCACAAUGGGCGGAAGCCUGAUGCAGCAACGCCGCGGGCGGGAUGACGGCCUUCGGGUUGUAAACCGCUUUCGCCUGUGACGAAGCGUGAGUGACGGUAAUGGGUAAAGAAGCACCGGCUAACUACGUG
rnacentral:rRNA from 1 species